rnacentral:rRNA from 1 species
UACGGCGGGUGCGAGCGUUGUCCGGCAUCAUUGGGCGUAAAGGGCGCGUAGGUGGCCCGGUCAGUUCGUGGUGAAAGCGCGGGGCUCAACCCUGCGUCGGCCAUGAAUACUGCCGCGGCUGGAGCACUGUAGAGGCAGGCGGAAUUCCGGGUGUAGCGGUGGAAUGCGUAGAGAUCCGGAAGAACACCGGUGGCGAAGGCGGCCUGCUGGGCAGUUGCUGACACUGAGGCGCGACAGCGUGGGGAGCAAACAGG